rnacentral:pre_miRNA from 1 species
CCACACCAUAUUUGGCCUUAAGGCCACCACAUUUCUGGCAAAUAUGGUAACAAACACCAUUUCCCAUAUUUGCCAGAAAUGUGGUGGCCUCAAGGCCAAAUAUGGUGUGGA